AUUGAACGCUCUCCUCCUGCCUUCCCCCUGCACGUCGACCGGUAACGGGCCUUCGGGUGCCGACGAGUGGCGAACGGGUGAGUAAUACAUCGGAACGUGCCCGAUCGUGGGGGAUAACGAGGCGAAAGCUUUGCUAAUACCGCAUACGAUCUACGGAUGAAAGCAGGGGACCGCAAGGCCUUGCGCGGACGGAGCGGCCGAUGGCAGAUUAGGUAGUUGGUGGGAUAAAAGCUUACCAAGCCGACGAUCUGUAGCUGGUCUGAGAGGAUGAUCAGCCACACUGGGACUGAGACACGGCCCAGACUCCUACGGGAGGCAGCAGUGGGGAAUUUUGGACAAUGGGCGCAAGCCUGAUCCAGCCAUGCCGCGUGCAGGAUGAAGGCCUUCGGGUUGUAAACUGCUUUGGUACGGAACGAAAAGCCUUCUUUUAAUACAGGAGGGUCAUGACGGUACCGUAAGAAUAAGCACCGGCUAACUACGUG
rnacentral:rRNA from 1 species